AGCCGGCUGACAGGCACAACCUGCUGCGGCCCGAGACGGUCGAGAGCCUCUUCUACCUGUACCGCUUCACGGGCGAGCGCAAGUACCAGGACUGGGGCUGGGAGAUCCUGCAGAGCUUCAACGCGUACACCAGGGUCCCCUCGGGCGGCUACUCGUCCAUCGGCAACGUCCAGGAUGCCCGCAACCCCCAGCCCAGGGACAAGAUGGAGAGCUUCUUCCUCGGGGAGACCCUCAAGUACCUGUACCUGCUCUUCUCCGACGACCCGGACCUGCUCAGCCUGGACGCCUACGUCUUCAACACCGAGGCGCACCCCCUGCCCAUCUGGGCCCCCGCCUAGGGCGGGCCCGCUGCCCGGUGGGCGCGGCUCGGGGCUCUGCCGCGCGUGGUCGCCGAGGGCGCCUGUCGGCAAGACCCUGGCCCUGCCCUCGGCUGUGCGGCGCCCACCCAGCUGGCGGGACGUGCUCCGGGCCGGGCCGAUGGCAGAGGCCAGCGGCCGUCCGGCCCGGGACGUUUCGGGUCCUCGGAGGCGCUUGAGGGGGCUGCUGGCGCCCGCGCUCCGCCUCUGGCUCCGGGCGCCUCGCCUGGUUGUCAUCAGGACACUGGCCAUCAGGAGCCCGUCGGAACACGUCAGCGCUGUGAUGUGGGGAGGCCCUGCCCCCGGGAGCCUUCCGCCUCCUUCCUGAGAAGAUCAGAUUCUGACUCGAUUCCCGAGGCCCGGGUGCCUCCUGCUGCUGCGCCGCGCACGGGCUCCGUGGGGGUCCCGGGGCCUGCGGUCACCCUGGGCCACUCGGGGUCCCCGGAGGCGCGAUGUGGUGGUCAGAGACGGGAGCCGAGGGGCCAGCCCGGGUGCGGCUCAGCCUCGAGGUCUCAGAGCCUGUGGACGUGCCCUGACCCCAGGGUCUCGGGGUGUCCGUGACCUUAUGGGCAGCAGCCGGGCUCCGGCAGCUGCAGUGUUUACACGUUGGACUCAGGGAUCCUCCCCCUGCCCUGCAGGUGCGGGGCGGGGCGGGGCGGGGCUGGGCGGGAAGG
rnacentral:lncRNA from 1 species